CCUGAAUUUAAAGAUUGAGUUGGAUCGAGGCAGCUCGGUAACCCAGUAAAUAUUACCAAAAUAGGCUUAGAUGAGGUACAAAAGUGAAAUUUCCACCAUUCUAGGUGAAGUGGGCGUGCAUGUCCCUGCAGGCAUACAUUGGACGAGUUUGUUGGUUUUUUAAAUACAUAAAAACGUUAUAUGUGCAAACCGGUGAUCCAAAGAAGUGCCUUUAUGUUUAAAAUUUGGAUCAUGACCUGAUUUCCACUACUGCAUAUUAAACGUAUCUUAUUACAUAUUGCAAGAACAGUCACAGAUCAAUUGAGCACAGAAACAUCUAUAAAAUGGUGCUUGCCAGAUAACAGUACUACUGCAAGUAGCUAAAUUGCAGAAUCGAUCAAAUAGAAAUGGGGGCUGCAGGCGUUUUUGCAUACACAGACAUAAUCUUAGUGCCACUUAGUCUGUUCAUUACGGUUGGUUACCAUGCCUAUCUUUGGCACAAUUUCAAGAGCAACCCCUUUCUUACAACCGUUGGCUACAAUGUUUAUAAGAAGAAACUUUUGUUUCAAGACCUUCAACAGGGGGAUGCAAAGAAGGGUACGCUGGCGGUGCAAAGCUUGAGGAAUAGCUUGAUGGAAAUAAUAUUAAGUGCAACGAUUACAAUUAUAAUGAUGGUGGCAUUGGCAGCAUUAAGUAACAAUUCCUAUAAUGCAAACAGCUUGUUUAACAGGCCAACGGGGGAUAGUGCUACUCUAUUUUGGGGACUCCACUCAGGGGAGAUAAUAGUAGUAAAGUAUGGAACUGCUGCAAUACUUUUGUUGUUUAGUUUUAUAUGUAGCUCCGCCGCACUUGCAAAUUUAAUUGAUGCCAACUUGUUGAUAAACUCUACACUAGACAUGGACGAGGAGGAACUAUUGAGAUUGUGUUAUGGCGGCUCUAGUAUAAAAUCAUACACGAUAAGCAUGCUGGAGCGCGGAUUCGUCAUGGCAGUGGCUGGUAGCCGCUUACUUUGCAUAGCGUUUCCGUUGCUGUUAUGGAUGUUGAGUCCAGUGCUGGUGCUUCUUUCUUCAAUAGGAUUAGUCUGGGGGUUACAUGCUCUUGAUUUUAGUCAACUGAUAAACUAAUUAAGUUACUCAUCAAACCCACACAUCUUUGUCGCGCUACAAAUUUUAAACUCUAAUCAAAAUCAUAAUGUUGUGUUGGAAUGAA